CUACGGGUCGCUCCAGUGGGGAAUAUUGGACAAUGGGCGCAAGCCUGAUCCAGCAAUGCCGCGUGAGUGAAGACGGCCUUAGGGUUGUAAAACUCUUUCGCUAGGGAAGAUAAUGACUGUACCUAGUAAAGAAGUCCCGGCUAACUCCGUGCCAGCAGCCGCGGUAAUACGGAGGGGACUAGCGUUGUUCGGAAUUACUGGGCGUAAAGAGUUCGUAGGCGGACUGACAAGUUAGAGGUGAAAUCCCAGGGCUCAACCCUGGAACUGCCUUUAAAACUGUCAGUCUAGAGACCGGAAGAGGUUAGGGGAAUACCUAGUGUAGAGGUGAGAUUCGUAGAUAUUAGGUGGAACACCAGUGGCGAAGGCGCCUAACUGGUCCGGUACUGACGCUGAGGAACGAAAGCGUGGGGAGCAAACAGGAUUAGAUACCCCUGUAGUC
rnacentral:rRNA from 1 species